rnacentral:rRNA from 1 species
AUUGAACGCUGGCGGAAUGCUUUACACAUGCAAGUCGAACGGCAGCACGGGGGCAACCCUGGUGGCGAGUGGCGAACGGGUGAGUAAUACAUCGGAACGUGCCCAGUCGUGGGGGAUAACGCAGCGAAAGUUACGCUAAUACCGCAUACGAUCUACGGAUGAAAGCGGGGGACCGUAAGGCCUCGCGCGAUUGGAGCGGCCGAUGUCAGAUUAGGUAGUUGGUGAGGUAAAGGCUCACCAAGCCGACGAUCUGUAGCUGGUCUGAGAGGACGGCCAGCCACACUGGGACUGAGACACGGCCCCGACUCCUACGGGAGGCAGCAGUGGGGAAUUUUGGACAAUGGGCGCAAGCCUGAUCCAGCCAUUCCGCGUGCAGGACGAAGGCCUUCGGGUUGUAAACUGCUUUUGUACGGAACGAAAAGGCUCUGGUUAAUACCUGGGGCUCAUGACGGUACCGUAAGAAUAAGCACCGGCUAACUACGUGCCAGCCGCCGCCGUAA